AGACUCAGUGAAAUUGAACUCGCUGUGAAGAUGCAGUGUACCCGCGGCAAGACGGAAAGACCCCGUGAACCUUUACUAUAGCUUGACACUGAACAUUGAGCCUUGAUGUGUAGGAUAGGUGGGAGGCUUUGAAGCGUGGACGCCAGUCUGCGUGGAGCCAACCUUGAAAUACCACCCUUUAAUGUUUGAUGUUCUAACGUGGACCCGUAAUCCGGGUUGCGGACAGUGUCUGGUGGGUAGUUUGACUGGGGCGGUCUCCUCCUAAAGAGUAACGGAGGAGCACGAAGGUUGGCUAAUCCUGGUCGGACAUCAGGAGGUUAGUGCAAUGGCAUAAGCCAGCUUGACUGCGAGCGUGACGGCGCGAGCAGGUGCGAAAGCAGGUCAUAGUGAUCCGGUGGUUCUGAAUGGAAGGGCCAUCGCUCAACGGAUAAAAGGUACUCCGGGGAUAACAGGCUGAUACCGCCCAAGAGUUCAUAUCGACGGCGGUGUUUGGCACCUCGAUGUCGGCUCAUCACAUCCUGGGGCUGAAGUAGGUCCCAAGGGUAUGGCUGUUCGCCAUUUAAAGUGGUACGCGAGCUGGGUUUAGAACGUCGUGAGACAGUUCGGUCCCUAUCUGCCGUGGGCGCUGGAGAACUGAGGGGGGCUGCUCCUAGUACGAGAGGACCGGAGUGGACGCAUCACUGGUGUUCGGGUUGUCAUGCCAAUGGCACUGCCCGGUAGCUAAAUGCGGAAGAGAUAAGUGCUGAAAGCAUCUAAGCACGAAACUUGCCCCGA
rnacentral:rRNA from 1 species